CCACAUGUAUCACAAACCAGGUCUCAGCUGUUUGUGGAGGUAAAAUACGUCAGUACAUGACUCCAUUUACGCUCAGCCAUUGUUGUGAUAGCCACAUUUAUACAGCCGUAUUUCGCACAUGACUAUGAAAGGCAGAAAAGGAAUAGUGUCAUGACCCUGUGCCUUCUCGGCUGACUCUGUAUGGCUACAAGUGUUUUUGUUGUGUUGCGUCUCUCUCUCCCCUCCCGUGCACUGCGCUCUACUGGGGCGGAGUCAUGACGGCUCCAGCCCCUGGCUCGGACACCUGCAAGCAAUCAUCUCAUCACCACGCUCACUUCUUAAGGUGGCUGCUGAGAGUGCUUCUUCGCUGGAUUAUUGUGUAACACUCAUUUCUCGCCAGUCUGAGGACCGCCGUUUGGUGAGCUAAAAGCCGGAGUCCGAGCUAACCUGAGCUUCAGUGAAGGAUUGUGUACAUAGCCCGUUCCCUUCCCGUGCCUGUGUUCCCCGGAGACCCUCUUCCUGUGCCCCCUCACCUGUAUAUAUCCGCACUUGGUGUCUGUGUGUAAAUAAAUUGUGAACUUUAGUGACGGUCUGCCUCCGAGUCUCUCCUGAGCCUGACAAAUAGUUCCUUCCAAUGUAGACAAUCCGAAUGAUAUAGUUUCUUUCCACUGUGUUCCUGUUAAUGAUAAACUACACAUUUACCCAAAAUUACUAAAAUAUAGAUAUUUUAAUUAGAGAUGGCACGAUACCACUUUUUAAUGUCCGAUACCGAUUCCGCUAUCAUAAAUUUGGAUAUCUGCUGAUACCGAUAUGAAUCCGAUAUAGCAUAUUUUGUAAUCAAUAAAACAGUUUUUAUAAAUAUCUUGCUGCAUUUUGUAUAAGUUCACACUGGAGAUUGAAGCUAUUCUGUUAUACCUGUAUGCAAAAAAUACACUGCAGCCAAAACAUUUUAUAGUUCAGCAACACUGAUCAAAUAAAUUUAAACCUACACCAUCCUCCCUAUUCUGGCAUUUUAAAGAGUACUUAGUGGAAAUAUUAAGCAACCUAACUAAUAGGGUUGCCAACUCCCAGCAAAAAUAUUAGGGAACCACCCCCCGCCCUUAAUGGAUGUAAUCAACUUUAAUUUAAUGCAAGUGUAAAACAAGUGCACAGAAAUCAAUUAUUUUUCUACAAUAAUUAAAUAGAUUCAACAUCUUUCUUCAA
rnacentral:lncRNA from 1 species